UACGGAGGGUACAAGCGUUAUCCGGAUUCACUGGGUUUAAAGGGUGCGUAGGAGGGCAGGUAAGUCAGUGGUGAAAUCCCCGAGCUUAACUUGGGAACUGCCGUUGAUACUAUCUGUCUUGAAUACCGUGGAGGUGAGCGGAAUAUGUCAUGUAGCGGUGAAAUGCUUAGAUAUGACAUAGAACACCAAUUGCGAAGGCAGCUCGCUACACGAAUAUUGACUCUGAGGCACGAAAGCGUGGGGAUCAAACAGG
rnacentral:rRNA from 1 species